rnacentral:lncRNA from 1 species
CCACUCAACCUUUAUGCUUAGUCUACGUGCUCCAUGUGUCCGAUCCCAUGACUAACACCUAAAGGUACCAUCGACAUAUCACCCCAUUACACUAAGGCCAUACCCAUUCACCUUUGUUACACCAAUGGUUUAACACCAUCUGCAUCAUAGUCUUAUCUCUUAAAGAUUAGGUCAUCCGUCCAUGAGUGAUCAUCCUAGAUCCACUCCUUAGCAUCCUUAGGAUGCCUAUAAAUAUGGGGAACAACCUUCCCCAAUAUCUUUUUUUCAAUCUCCACCAAAUCUUUUUCUAUCCACAACUGUAUUCACCAAUAUUGCCACUAAGUUAAAGCCUACAAGCUCAACCACUAUGUCCCAAUGUCUUCUAGGACUUCCUUGCUAUAUAACUGCAUCCUUGGUCACCAUACAAGUGGACUACUCCUCUUCCUUUCCAUAGUUUAGGACUUUGGGAUGAUAUUUUGAAACACUACGACUCUAUACGAGUUUCAUAGGUACUCUUCCCACAAUUUACCUUUGGGUGCCUUAACCAGGUGGCUAGAGAAAAGUUUCGAUGAGUCACACUAGAUAUCCAAGUAGGUAGUGCUACCCACACUUGGAUUGGGAGUAUCGACCAUUUAAUCUCCCAAGGGAGCUAGAGCUAGCUCUUGAACAUUUCACUAAACUACUAUCCGUAUUCACUUUAUCCUUGGAUUCCUAAUGGUUAUAUUAUCACCCAACACGUGGGUAUAGCCUUCCUGGGCCACACUGGCCUUUCCUAGACAAAUUUCACUGAAGUCCAACCCCCACACUCUCCUUGCUAUACUUUUGGAACCCCCUAUAGCCCCUAUAGUUGUCCACACUGGUGGUCCAACACCAUCUACAUCACAGUCCUGUCUCUCAAAGACUGGACCAUCCGUCUAUGAGUGAUCAUUUUAGAUCCACUCCUUAAUAUCCUUAAAAUGCUCACAAACAUAAAGAACAACCUUCCCCAAUAUCCUCUUUUUAGUCCCUAUUAAGCCCCUUUCCAUCCAUGGCUACAUUCGCCAAUAUUGCCACUGGGUCAAGACCCACAAGCCCAACCACUAUGUCUCAAUGACUUCUAGGAGUUCUUUGCUAUAUAACCACAUCCUUGGUCACCACACAAGUGGAUUGCUUUUCUUCUUUUCCACCAUCUACCUUUGGGUGCCUUAGUUAGGUGGCUAAAACAAAGUUUUGAUAAACCACAUUAUGUAUCUAAGUAGAUAGUGCUACCCACAUUUUGAUUGGGAGCAUCAACCAUUCAAUCUCCCAAGGGAGUUAAAGCCUGUUCUUGAACACUUCACCAAGUUGCCCCAUUUGUCUAUCCGUAUUCAUUCUAGCUUUGAACUUCCUAGUGGUUAAAUCAUCAUUCAACACGUGGGUAUAACUUUUUUGGGCUAUAUUGACCUUUUCUGGCCAAACUAAUUCCACUAGAGUCUAACCCUUACACUCUCCCUACCAUACUUUUGGAACCCCAUGUAGCCCCCUCCCCGAGGGACGAUCACUUUGGGCUUUCACCCAAUAACUUAUAUUAGUAUUCGGACUCAGACUUGAACUUGGACUUGGCCUCAAACUUAGUCUCGGUCUCAGACUUGAACUCAAUCUCAGUCUCGGUCUUGGUACCAUCUCAGACUCCAUCUUGGACUCCAUCUCAGGUCCAUCUUGGACUCUAUCUCAGACUCCAUUUCGACACUUCCAUGUGUCAUAUGUUGAUCCUCUUGUGUCCCUUUUUUAGAAACUCACUUAUUGCUUUAUGCUCAUUCCUUGAGCACUUCAUUGAAAGUUCCACUCCUGCUCUCAACUUUUCAAGUCGGAGGUUUUUGUAGUGCACCCUAUCUCUUUCCCCUUAAGUCAACUGGAAAAGGGGCAAUUACUUGUUAAGAAAGCCCUUAGUGGCUAUUUUAUCCCCAUUUAUCCCUUAAGGUUCCAAGGAUCCACGGUGACAGUAUAUUUUAAUCUCAUCCCAUGAUCACAUAUGCUACACUCACCCCCCCCCCCCCCUUGCCCUUUAGAGAUGUCAAUGUCUUCCAUUUCCGCACUAAAUUUACUAAUCCUUCCAUUGUGUAGACCAGCUAUUCCAUGUGAGGCAACUAGUCAUCCACCCGUACCGCAGUCCUAAGGUGGAUACCUUUGUCCGUGGAUACUCCACACAAGAGGAAGGAUGUACAUAUGGAUGCUUAAUACGCAGUCCCACGGUAGAUACUUUUAUCCGUGGAUACUCCACACAAGAGGAAAGACGUACGCAUGGAUGCUUAAUACGUACGAUUUCAAAUUUAGGGGUAGGAAUAUAUUUUACUUAAGAGUAUAUUAUAUUUUUAAGUAGCCACUAAUCAAUGGGAAUCGAACUCGUGCCAUUUGCUCAACACACCCUAUCUCUCUUCCCUUAAGCUAACUGGAAAAAAGGGUAAUUGCUUGAUGAGAAAGCCCUUAGUGGCUAUUUUAUUCCCAUUUAUCCCCCAAGGUUCCAAGGAUCCAUGAUGACAAUAUAUCUAAACCUCAUCCUAUGAUCACAUGUGCUACAGUUUUAGUCCAAACGUGUUACUUUUGUUUGGCUUCCACUUUGUCCACUAUUGUGUGGCACCUUUCGGCUUCACUUUUGGGGCUCUGGGAUUUGUGUCUCAUAAAAAGUUAUACCUAUUUGAUAGGUGAUGAUAUAACCAUUGAGAAGUCCAAAGCUAAAGUGAACAUGGACAAAUAAGUAGGGUAAUUUAGUGAAGUGUUUAAGAGCUGACUUUAGCUCCCUUAGGAGAUCGGAUGGUAAAUACUCCUAAUCCAAGUAUGGGUGGCACUACUUACUUGGAUAUCUAGCAUGGUUCAUUGGAACAUCAUUCUAGCCACAUGGCUAGGGCACCUUAAGACGGAAGGUGAGGAGUGUAUUCACAAAGCUUGCAUAAAGCCAUAGUGUUUUGAAAUGUCAUCCCAAAGUUCUAGAUUAUGGAAAGGAAGAAGAACAAUCCUCUUAUAUAGUGACCAAGAAUAUGGUCAUAUGGUGUAGUGGUUGGGUCUUCAAGCCUUGAUCCAAUGGCAAUGUUGGUAAAUAUGGUCAUAGAUGGAGAGGGAUUUGGUAUGGACUAAAGAAAGGAUAUUGGAAAAAGUUAUUCCUCAUGUCCUUAAGCAUCCUAAAGAUGCUAAAGUGUGGUCUUGGGAAGACUAUUUAUAAAUAGAUGGCCUAAUCUUUGAAAGAUAGAAUUAUGGCACUAGACUACUAAUGAAGCAAAGGUGAAUAGACAUAAUCUUAGCAUAAUGGGUAAAUAUAUCAAUAGUACCUUUUGUGUGUUUGUUGUGGGAUUGGCUAUAUAGAACACUUGGACCAAGUGCAAAGCUAAAGUGGCAUAGAAGCCAUUCAUGAGGCUGGCAAGUCCCUAAAUUAGGAAUAGAAUUUAAGUAAGACUCCUCCAAGUGGUAAAAAAUGUGGUAAAGUAAAAUAGAAAACUUAGUUGUUUACAAUAAUCUCUACAUAUUCUAUCCAUCAUUGUAUUGAACAUAGCCAAAGUAUUACAUAAACCAAAUGGCAUAAUAAAGAAUUCAUAGAAUUUGUAAUAAGUAUUAUAUAUUGUCUUCUCUACAUCUUAAUCUACAUCCAUAUCUAAUGAUGCCCAGAUUGUAAAUUAAAUUGUGUAAAUUACUUAACCUUUCUUUAUGCAAAGAUGCCCAAGUCACAAGCUACAAUAUAAUGGCAAGGCUAAAGCACCAUAGGAGCUAUUUUCUGGUUGGCAUUCCAUUGUAAAAUCUCAAAUGAGCACUUAGGCACUGGACAAGAAAUGGCUCUAGUCAACAGCUUGCUUGUGCAUAAAAGUACUCAGGAUUUGAUAAUGGGAGGAUUUUAGGUAAAGUUGGAUGGGACAUGGAUUUGGAGGAAGAUACCCAAACCUUUGUAAUCUAGCAGCCCCUAUUCCAUCCAUUUCCACUUUGAGGAACUUUUCAUUGUGGUAUAAUUUACUAAAUGCAAACUAAAAUCAAAACCCUCUUCUUAUGUGAUUCACUCCAGCCUUAUAUGGGAAGAUCAUAUGGCAACUCCUCUUAUUAAGAUGCUAAUCCUUAAUUCUAGAAUUUUUCCUCUCACCCUUUGUGGUCAUUUGAUGGCUCCUAGAAAGCUUUGGAUUUCCCUUAGCUUCCUGACUGUCUAGUUUUUAAUGUGGUUGUUGUUAAUGAUGGUGUUGUAGCACCUCUUAUAGGUCCAUUGAAGGUUAACUGAAAUCCUAUUGCCAUCUCCUCUUUAUCUCACUUUUCCUCAUUGAUUUCUACCUAAGUGCACUACUUGGAUUUCCUCGUCUUCUAGCCUUCCAAGAGUUGAGCUCCCUUCUGGCAUUUAGGAGGAUACUCCUUUCCAAAAAUCUUGGUCUAUAGACCUCUUUAUCUAUCACUGAACUUAGCCUUAUUGGCUUAUGUCACUACUGAUAUUCUGCCAUGUGGCCAGGUGUGUGGUGAGUCCCUCCAAAAACACUGAAGCACAAGGUAAACAGAAAUUCCAGGCAGAGAUCCAGGAUUUUAAGUGCUUUAUUUAAUGAUGAUUUAUUUCAUAUAAUACCAAUUUGAGGGGUGACAAUUGGGCGACUCCCUCCACGUGGGAGGUUAGAAUUCUGUGACCUACAUUGCUGUCACUUGGAUUGCCAAAUAUCAAUUGCUAGGUGAAAUUGUAAGUUCAUAUUUUUAGUUUCUCAUAAGUAUUGGAGGAAAUUGCCUUCAAACUCGGUCUACAAACUCUGAAACUUAAGCAGAAUCAAUAUGAUGAAGUUAUUGCAAUCUUUUUUUGACGUGCCAUUAGGAAUUAGGAAGAAGAGCGGAUGGUCUUGGUCUCCCUCCAUUUGGGAGGUUAAUGGGAGGAUGUUCGAUGUACUUUCAAAUGUAUCUGAAACAAAGAACUGGUGUUUGAAGACCAGCUGCAAAACCAGGGGGAGGGGGGGAAGUAGUUCAGUUGGUGUCCAAAGAGAUCUUUUGCUUGCAUGGAAUCCCUCAAUAACCUCACUGUGAGAGUUAGUAACAGGAAAUUUCUGGAAAAAAGAGUUGCAAUUCUCUUGAACGAAAAAAAAUGUCCCUCUCCUUUCUUCAAAGUGGCAGCCUUCUUCUUGGCAAAGACCGCUCUUCUUUCACAUGAUUAUGCCUGUAAUCACACGUGGGCGAAACUGAACAUUUGUUUCUCUAAUUUUUGUCCUACUAUCCAGGCUUUACACUUGCAUGCAACAAUGCAGGUUUUCUUUGGAUGAAGCUUCAAGAUUCAAAGUACCUGUUUGUGAGCCAAGUCGAAUCGCUUCUUACAGCCUCUCCGUCCUGGUUACGGUGCCAAUAGUAGAACGCAUGCGUCCUGUUUUUGAUCUCGAGCAUUGCGUGACCAAAACUCGCCUCGCGAUAUGCCGAGUAGUUUGGCUGCGGUUGCGUGAAGCUGGGAAAAUGUCCGUAUAAAUCUCACAGGGCCGGAAAGAGAAAACUAAGAAAAAACCACCUACUUUCCAGCGAGCCCUUCUAUGUUUCCUCCAUCGCCGACUGUUAUGUAGACAGGCGCAGACUCGUUGCGGGAUGGAGAGCAUUGGCCGUUGACAACGUUGUACUCGAUAUUAGAGACGCGGUGCUGUGGUCACAAAAGCAUUAAGAAGAGAAAGCAAGAAAAGAGAGAACAAAACUUACACUCCGUUCGUAUGCAUGAACGUGCCCGGCAAACACAAUGUCGACUCUGUAUUGCACGAACCAUGCUUCGAAUUGCACACGCAUCGUUUCGCCCUCCAUGUAGUGAUGGGUGUUACUGUUGUACCACGGGGAAUGCAUCAAAACAAUCACCCACGGGGUUUUCUUCCUGUUUAUAUUCUGGAGGUCAUUCUGCAGCCAUGCCCACUGCGGGGUAUAUUUCCCUGCACGACCGUUGCUUAUAAGAAACAUUAGUUCAGCAAACCAUUCGCAAACCAUAUGCGGAGUAUGAAGACAGCACGAUGAUGUGCGCUGACGCCCUGUUGAUCGAAUACCAGAGCUGCGAUGUACUCUUUGAUGAACGAUGGGGUGUUUGAUAGCGAUGAAGAUACGGCUUGAAUGGUAUCACCUCGCUCUGGAAGAAGUUAGCACCGCCGGAAACUUGUAAGCUAUAUAACCUGGUAGAGUCUAGAAUGCGCACUAGCUUACGAUUGCUGGACGGUAGUCUAGCUCGUGGUUUCCCGCCGUCCAGAUCCAAGGUUGAUACGCGGUGCUCGGCUCCACCAAUCGACCCCAAGUGUCCCAACGAUUAUUGUCGUCCAAGGGAUAAUGAUCGGCGUAUGAGAGGUCUCCGACGUAAAGAAGAGUCUGUCCGCUGCUGUUUAAGUAGUGCUGAAAGGUGUUGAGGGAGUCAUACGUCUGUCCGAGAUCUCCUGCAACAGAAGCAGUUGUCGGUUUCGAACGGAUAUAAUAGACACAAACCUAUGACGCCAAAUGUGUACGCAACGUCGGGGCCAGAUUUCGGUGGAGUGACGAACCAGAAUUCUCGAGCGCAUUCUCCAUCGCCGAGCCUGUAGUAAUACUUCGUAGCAUACUUUGGACAAGGAAGCAAGAACCAAAAACAAGGACACAACAGUGAGUCGGCCAGAAAACUGUAGAUCAUAUCAAACACACCUCGAGAUUAGUGAGCUUCACAUGGUGGAUGUAGCCAGAUGUGUAGUUCGCGUACUUAUACCUUGUGAUGUUUCCAGUCGCCGUCCUUGAGUACUUUGCGGUCUCGUUUCCAAAACUUACAGCCAACGAUCCAGGUUGCGACGGAGUAACCCAGGAAACGAUCGUGGAAUCCGCAGUAACACUCCCUUGCGUUAUGUGGACCUGGAACACAAAGUCCUAAUCAAACCGAGGAGUUAUCGCAAAGAAAACCUGUUCUGGCGCAUUUCCACAGCCUGCUAGAUUAGGAGGUCGCAGAAAUUCGCUGCCGACGGGCAAAUCCUCCGAGGCUUGGAGCCUCCGCCGGUAAGAGCUUGUGAUUCCCGAAGAGCCGCAUUGGAGCUGGAGCUGGAGGAUGAUCGUGAGAAGCGGCAGCGGCAGCCCUGCAAAGCAUGGCUCAAGAAUCGCUGGCUGCAAUGCCGCACUGAUCGGCGCUAGAGAAUGUGCCAUACCUGAGGCGAGAGCAUUGAUCGCCAUCCACGCUCGCGGGCCUUCGCAGCGCGCCUGCGAUGGAACUUUAUAUGAGUCAACAGGCGGCACAUAUUCGCAUCUAUUCGUUUGCAUGUCGUGCUAAUAUAAAAUACUCAUCUACGCGCAAAGGUCGGCUCCGUACGAGGACUGUCAUGGACCUUCCCGUACGGCCAUCGAUACCUUGGACUCCAACAAGCUCAUCGAGACUUAUGGAAAGAAUGGAAGAAUCGCCUUGCCUGCAUCACAAGAGGUGGCCUGUUGGCUCCAACUCCGUCUGCCCAGUUGAUCUCGUUGUUUCAUAAACGCUGGAUACAGUGCCCUUGGCAAUCCUUCCUCCAUAGCCCAGCCAUGCACGCCGCACGUAGCCUCCCCGCUGCUUGUCUCGCCAACUUUCACCUGGUGAGCAGCCUUUAGACACUCCACCACCUUGCCCCGGAGAUUUUCCGCAUCGCUGUGGCAGUAAAGAAGCUGCCAGCAUUCCUCAGCAUCCCAUUACCACCGCUAGCCAGCCACGCGGCACCUCUCGAGGUUCACCAUAUAUCGGGGGUGCGUCGACCCACGCUUUGUGGACUGCAUACCCGUACAGCUGAACACUGCAGUCUUCGCAUUGCUUGACAAGAUAGACUCGCUUAUCUGGAUGCAUUUGUUCCACUGUCGUCCCAGAAUUCAUAAAGCGCCAGAUUGUUGGUAAUACUCCCGCAGCCCGAGAGCCGCCUGCUUCACCGCCGCACAAACAACCGCACCGUGCACCCUGAUCAUGACUAUGAAUCGCUGCGGGAAGGAGCAAGCCAGAGGCUGGUGGCCUCAGCAGCACCAACCUGAAGCAGCUGUCCAACACGCUCGAGGAUGAGUACCGGGAAGCAUGUAUCAGGCUCUCCUCCCGGCAAGUGCUAUAGUAGAGCUUGUAAUUGAGUAAUGCGUGUGACUGGGGCUCCGUCUUCGCCAGUGACAUGCCCCGCUCCAGUUUUGUGAGUACCAGAAGAGCCUCGCUCUUCCCGAAUACCCAAGUCUAUGCUUGUUCUCUUCCCUGUGCACGACUCAUCUUCCAAAUGCAGCCCAAGGUACUCCUUCCACUGCCUCCGCAGCGCACUAGUCAUUUCGAACUCGUCAUCAUCAAAACGCGGAUGCAGCGACCGUGCUUACACUGUCCAGAAAGGUUCCAAACACGGGAUGUACAAGCUGCGGAGGCGCAGCCAAUGCGGGCCGGAAGUUGAGAACCUCGGCAUUGUUUCCUGACUGCUCCUCCUUGACGAGGCCAUAAUCCUGUUUUGAAGGCCGCCCCACUUUGCCGAAUUGCGGAUCACGUAACACAUCUGAACAGAAAAGAGGGCAUGGCUCAGGAGGAGUAAGUAACCUAGAUGUACAAACCUGGGGGGAGCGCGUAACUGUAAUCGCCCUCAGGGAGUGCUCGUAUAGAUAAUUCCAUUCACGUCGACCAGGCGCGGAUCUUUCCUUUGGCCAAACCUUGCUUCGACUCGAUCGAACAUUUCCAUGGCCGAACCGUGGAGAACAUCGUCACCAUUCUAGUAAAAAGGGCUUUCGUUUUAGAAUUUUAAAAUACCUUUGUUCACGGAGAAUCCGCAGCAGCCCGGAUGAUAUGCGAGCCAAAGUUCAGCAGCUAUGGUCUUUGCUCCCUACAAAGAAUCUGAUCGUUGUUUCCGGUGUUCGGUGUUUCGGAGUUUUAUGCUCUGACAAUCACAAUGGGUGUCUGCUCAUCCGAAUUCCCUGCAAACGUUUCAAUUAGUCAGUGAACGAAGAGCAACCAUCUUUCAGCUCACCAGCAGGAUUGUUGAUCAAAGCUUGCGAUAAGGUGUCGUGGUCCACACCGUCGGAUGCCUACACACGAUGAGGUUGGAUCGGUCUCCAAAACAAAGCCAAGCAUCCAUUUACAUACGGCUAGUAUUUGGACUUUCUUCAAAUCGUUCACGUCCACGACAGCCACUUCACAUCCUGCGAAGGUAAGCUAGACAAUGCUAGACAAUCCAUCUCACACGAUUACCUGUUUUAGCUUUGAGAGCAUCCACGGUGGCUUUAGUGUGAACCUUCAGGAAAACUGGGUCAAAGAAGAAAUCUUGAGAAAAAAAUAUCUUGCAAAAACUGUACCGGCCCAAGUGUUAUGAAUUGAUCGUAAGGUGGGAGAGUUCCGGUAACAUCAUCGAUCAGCCUAGCCUGCAAAAUAAAAUCUGAAGUAACAUGCAUGAAAAUCACAGAGUCGUACCUGUGCCCCGGCUAGUCGGUAGAACAUGCCUCGCUGCCCAAAUAGUCUACGAAUGUUCUGCAACGCGUAAUAUCGUCAAGAAUGAUUCGAUUUUUUCUUACCUUGCAAUAACUGCAAUGACGACCGCAAAGACAAUCCUGAGCUUCCCAGAUAUGUCAAUCAAAGCCUGUGAUUAUCCGAAAUAAGCGUAAUGUACUGGGAAAGGAAAGCUUAUGUACCUGCAUACCACAUGCGGUAGCGAGGGACGAUGUUGGAUGGAAGAGACGACACACCAGCUUUGCAAGAAGGCCAGGUUGCAAGCUUGUAGGAUGACGGUAACGCCCUGAAAGGAUGUCAGCUCGCUAUUUUCCAUACAGUUACCUUGCAUUAUGGCAAGUGGCGUCUCUCCUAUGGCGAUGACAUCGCCCGGCUUGACGUAUGGAAGCGCGUAUCUUUUCUUUUGCAGCGUACAUGAUCAGAAAAAAUAAAAAAUAAAAAACUAACCAUGUCAAAGGUAUCUCACCUUUUAAGAACCUCCAGAGGAUCAUCUAGAUGGCACAGAAGAUGUGUGCAGAUCGGCUGUAUCUUCAACGCCUCCCUAAAAGCAAAAGUAGAUUAGAAAACUGUGAUGAGACUCGGAACUUGCUUACGAAGCCUUGGAAGGCGAAUCGGGGUAGUGCGUUGGAAGAACGACGUGUUGAGAAUGAUUUGUCCGUCCAUGAGGACCAUAACAAACAUACUCCAUCUCGACGCAAAGAGCCUGCAUAUUGUUUCAUCAGCUUACAACAAUGAACGUCAAAGGUACGUGCCUGCAAAUCCGAGAGGAGCAAAGGACUAUGCGAUUCGACAUCGACCACCACCUAUUUAUUCAUGAACAGAUUCAGUACCUGAGAGAAAAAGCUACACACACACCUCUAUCGACGUGCUUUCUCCAGCUCUAGUUAUGUAAGCAGGCCAGUAGCAAUCGUUCCUCGGCUCUGGCUUGUUUCCUGGAUGUCUAGAAAGAAUCUGCGAUGAAAAGCUACAGAAUAGAGAAGUUGAGAUUUAUCAAAACAAUACGAACCUUGAGCUUCGUUUUGAUCGACUCGACUGAGCCUUCCGAGAGGAGCUGGAGCUUCCCUUGGGUCUCGGCAAUGAACAGCUCGUGGCGUCUCGUCAUGUUAGAAAACCUUCGAGGAAAUAAACCAAAACAAUACAAACCAAGAGAGAAAAAUGCUAGCCAUUCACCUCAUAAUCCCUCGAAACUGAUAGUGGCAAGCCUCGUGACGAUCCCAAGACCAUGAUCCACGGCUAAGAACAAGACCAUUGCCAGGAAGAUUUCUCUGCGAGAGAAAUCACAAGACAAUACGUGUGACAGAUCGAUCCAUACCUGCAUUGAGAGAAGACGGGGGAGCUCCUGCGAGAGCCACUGCGCAUUGCGCCCUCCGUACGUGCACUCCGCCGCGGCGGGCGCUCCCGCCAAUCCCAGAGACGCCAUGGCGGGCUUUUAGGUAGAGCCCUAAACUCUGAGGAGCUCCAAGAACAAUGCUGUUGUCUCAAGCAUUUCCCUCGAAUCCUCUCUGCCAGGAGCUAUUCCUGCCAAGAACCAAGCACAAGGUGAGAGAUCGAUGAAAUAUCUUGCCUGAAUCGAGAUUUCUCUGGAUUUCCAGCGAUCGUCGAUGAUCAUCCAAGCCGGGGGAUGGACGGGCAAAUCAUCCGGCGAGCCCGGCAAGAAUCGCAAAUCCUGGAAGCGCGCAACGGAGAAGUACAUGAGGCCCUUCUCGAUCGAUGUCUACAUCUCCGCGCGCUACGUGAACGCCAAGAUCGUCCACCGCGUGACGAGCAAGACGGUGGCCGUGGCGACGACCAACGCCAAGGAUCUGAGAGCUUCGCUGCCAUCGCUCACCAGCGCCAGCGCCUGCGAGGUGAUCGGCAAGCUCAUCGCGGAGAGGGCAAUGGAGGCGGAUGUGUACGCUGUGACGUAUGUGCCCAGGAAGAAUGAGAGGCUGCAAGAGAAGCUUGAGAUCGUGCUCAACACUGUCAAGGAGAAUGGCGUCGCUGUGCUCUGAUCGCAAGUGCCGUUGGAGAUUUGCCCGUGGAUGCCUGGAAUCGAUCGAUCGAUAAGAAGAACAGGAGAUUCCCAGACCGGGCAUCUUGCCAUGUGAUGAUUUGGGGGCAAAGGAGAGAGCCGAUGCUUUCUGGAAAGAAGUGAUGGAUGAUUUUGAGAUUUAUGGAGAGAGAGAAUGGCCAACGAUGUGUUGAUCGUCCUCGUCGCCUGGGGGAUUCUUUUUUGCGAAGACCAAGAAGCGCUCGAUUCCUGCAUGGCAAUGCUGUGAAAAUUUCCCUAGAUUUGAGAGCGAUCCAGGAGUUCUACCUCAGAUAACAGUACCAGUGAUGCCGUGAUCCAAAAAAUCGACGCUCUUGAUCACAAAAUACCUCUCUCCACCUCUCGAUCGAUCCGAUCUAGAUGCUGUAAUAUCGGAAUGGGCAUGUUCUUCCGCCGCUCCCGACACGCUGGAUCUUCUUUUGCUUCAGCAGCCUGGAAAGACGAGGAGAUCCAUCAAGAACGCGAGAAGAUCGAAAGAAGAGAGGGGAGAAUGGUUUACAGCCGAAGCGCCUUGCUGGUGUCGGGAUUAUUGCCGAGAAGCUCCCGGAUGAUCUUCUCGGUGGGGAGCAAGUCCUCGCUGUCCGAUAGAACCCCAAGAACCACGGCGGCCGUCCGCUGGAUGCGAGUAGCAUCCCUCGCCCUGGGAGCGCGCCGCUUCUUGUGGAGGUGGAUCGCGGCGGCCAGGCUCGGCGAAUUCAGAGCGCAUGCAACCGCGGCAAGACGGAGCAGAUUCUCGCAAUUUUCCCUGCGACCGGGCAGCUGUGGAGGCGGAUCCCUGCGAAUGCCGGCGUUGCCGCUGAGGAAGAGCGCCAGUUCUUGAUCCGCCAUCGCCGCCAUCGCCACAAGCUCGCUGGAGAGCUCGAAACAAAACCUCGACAGAAUUUGAAUUUAAAUUUGGGCGGGCUGCCGGCCUGCGGAUGCCAUAGAAUAUGCCUCUCUUUUCCUUCUCGAGCUCGGGCGCGCGGUACGAUGCACAAGACUUUUCGAUCCCGCGCGGUAUAAUGGCGGUAGACGGGCAGUGCCGCACGGUACGAAGCACAAGAGAAGAAGAUGUACUAAGAAGGAACGAUUUUUAAGAGCUCGAUAUCAAACAAAAGAGUCUUGUCUAUGAGUCCCUGGUUCUUGAGCACGAAAUCCAGCGCCCUUUGUCCCUGGAGAGAUUGAAGCAUUGGUUACUGUAUCAAUCGAAGUAGUUGAGCUUACAGAGAAUGUGGUUGGCUUGGGUUCCUUCUUGUUGUAAUCGUUCUCGGGAUACCCCAGCUCCGGUGGGACGAUUAUCCUGUUGAUCGAAAAAUCUCGUCAAACAAGCUCGCAAGUAAGAUCAAGGUACCUUCUCACUCCACCCACGGACAUGGAUGCUACAGCCUCUUCAAACGCGGGGAUUACCUAGAAGUUUGGAACGAGUCAUGGAGGUUUUCAAGGCUAGAGAUUUAGUACCUCGCUCCUUCCGACUUUGAAUCGAAAGAGCUCUUUCUCGUUUCCCUGGAAAACCAGUAAACGUUGUCCACGGAUCAUAUAAAAAACUAUGUACCUCAAAAGAUCCUCCCUUGGCUUUGUUCCGUGCUUCGAAAAUGCGACCGUAGUAACCAAUCGUGUAGCCAGCCCAGUCCACCUGAGAAAGUUCAUUGAGAGCUUUACAAGUCCAGUUGAAGGUUUCAGAUAGAAGAUCGCUUACCACUACAGUUUCACCAGGCUUUGGAAUGGGACCUGUUCCCAUCUUUAGAUCCUGAAAGAAAUCGUCGUCGAGAGCGACUUCAUGCAAAAAAUUCUUCUGCACUACCUUAAACUGCAGACCGGAUGGAGUUUCUUUGAAAUCCGGAUAGCGCAUCUUCGUCUUCCCAUAGUCCUUUCCUCUUAGAGCGGGCACUGGAAAAAUAAAGAGCAGCUUUAGAAAAUGAAAGCAAAGAAUGAAAACUCGUACUAUCUGCAAAUUCUGCGUCAGCAGCUCCAACUCCCAGUAGUAUAGGCACAAAAAAUCCGGCUAUAAAUUCCCGGCGAUGCUUACACAAGUCUUCUCUGUAAACUGAUUGCUCAAAGUUAAGAAGGAAAACUUAGCUUUGGGAGCUGACCUUCUGGGAGCCUUUGAAGGCAGAUCUUCGUCCGGCUCGCAACGUCCGCUUGUUUCUGAAGGGAACAAAUGAAAUGGGGCAGUGAGAAACUGAAUCACAAGCAAAGUGAUAUAGAGACUUACAGCACAAUUGUCCUGUUGCGAGAGAUUCUUGAAGGCGGAAGAAGUAGAAGCGUAGAGCAUCAGCGCCAUAUCUCUUUAUCCCGACCUAAGCGAGCACCACGUAAGCAAGCAUUCGGCUUACCUGCAAGCUCUCAAUCCCACUUUCCAGUUAUCCAUUCGUUCCACGAGUAAAUAUCCCAGCCUUCGGUUUUCGCCGUGUUGUUUGCCAUGGCCGAGAAGGUGCGACAGUCGGGUUGGACACCCCUCUCGACAAACCUCUGGAAAAGCUCACGAGCUUCGUCAAGUCUCCCGGCAAGUCCAAACCCGUUGACAAGAACGUUGCACGUGAAGUUAUUGGGAGCACAUCCAGCAGCUCUCAUGUCCACCUCGAAAACUUUGCGGGCCUCGUCCAGCCUGCCGAGAGAGCACAGCCCCGAGAUCAAAGCCGUGUACAUCACCACGUCCGGCGUGCCGCCUUUGUCAACGAGCAUGCAGAGAACUUGUCUGGCUUGAUCGACUCUGUGUGCUCUGCAAAGCCCGUCCAUGAAGGUGCUGUAAGUAACCACGUCCGGCUUUGCCUGUCUCUUCACCACCUCCUCGAAAACUUCUCGGGCUUGAGAGAGCCUCUUGGCCUUGCAAAGCCCGUUGAUGAGGAUAUUGCAGCUAACAUCGUUGGGAGUGCAGCCUCUGUUGGUCAUGAGCUCGAAAAUCCUCCAGGCCUCGUCCACGCCUCCGUACUUGCAAAACCCGUCCAUGAGGCAGCUGCAAAUAACGACCGAGGGGCUGCCUCCGCUUUCAAGGUAGCUGAAGAAGAUCUCUUUUGCUCGAGCAACCCGGUUCGCCUUGCACAGGCCAUCAAUAAGAACUGUGAACGUAACCUCCUGAGGUCGGACGCCAUCUUUCUCCAUCCUGUUGAAGAAAAGCUCGGCCUCGUGAAUUUUCCCCUUCUUGAAAAGAGUGUCGAUGAUGCAGUUGUAAGGAGCACUCGUCACCACACCACCUCGUGCCACGAGCUCGUUCAGCAGCUCCACAGCUUCAGGAACUCGGUCUGCUUUGCAGAAGCCGUCGACCAAAAUGUUGUAAGUGAUGAAACUGGCUCCAGCACCAGAGGAAAGAAGACGCUCGUAGAACUGCUGAGCUUCUCCGAGCCUUUCCACUCGACACAAGCCUCCAAUCAGUGUGUUAUAGGUGGAAGUAGAAGGAGCACAGCCCGGUGCCUUCAUUUCUCCGAAGAGCUGGAUGGCCUCGUCUAUGCGUUUCGUCUUGCAAAACGCGUUGAUCAAGAUGUUAUAGCUGACGGUAUUGACAAGGCCACGAAAAUCCUUAAGCUCUUGGAACCACGAUUCGGCCUUGUCGAUCAUGUCUGACUUGCAAAGGCUGUCGAUCGUAAUGUUGACAAGGUGGCGCUCCCGCAGCUGCUGCCUGUCAAGCAUCAGCUUCACCACCUUUAAGCACUCCUCAGCUCGUCCCGCUUUGGACAGCUCGCGGACGAGCAAAUCUGCCGGUAAGCCGCAACCAUCUGAAACCAGACUGUGGAAAAGCUCCAGUGCUUCGUCCAACUUCCCAACGUGGCAGAGACACAAUACGAUAUCGGCGUUCAUUGCUGCUGUAGGAACACCACCGAUGUCAACGUAUGUUUCCAAAAGUUCCAGCGCUUCCCUGAACCUGUGACCCCAGACGAGCCCUUGAAACAACAUUGCCAAGGCCGAACCGAUGCUCCGAACUUGCCCGUUAUCAACAGCUUCCUGGUAGAAAUCAAACGCUUCAUUGAGUCUGUUCUGCUCAAGAAAAACUUCGAUGAUAAUGUUGUAAGUGCUGGAGCUUGGAGUCAUGCCUUCCCUCCCGAAAAAGUCCAUAGCUUCCUGUAUCCUGUCCGAUGCAGCCAGUCCCCGAACUACUGUGUUGAAAGAAACCAUGUCUGGACCAUGCAGCUUGUUCGCCACUUUCAAAACUUUCAUCGCAUCAUCCACCUUGUUGGCCUUGCACAUCUUGUUGAUGACGAGACGAGAUGCUUCUCUGUCAAAAGUGCACCCUGUAUCGAUCAUAAGACUGAGCUGCUCAAGCGCUUUCACUAGCCGGAAAAUAGUGAGAAGGCACUUGACGAUAGAAAUUCCCAUAUCCUGCUUCCCGGAACAUAGCAGAUGAUUAAGCAGCCAAUAGCCUUUGUGAAACUUGCCUGCCUUGCAAAUGUUUUCCGUGAUAGUCGUAAAGGAUGUUACUGCUGGCUUGUCUAGCUGCAUAGACAUUCUUUUCAGCAUUGCAGACGCUUCACCUCUGAGGACCCUGAAAGCCGUUGACGCAUCGCCUUCCCAAACGGCAAUGCGGAGCUCGAAACCAUUUUGCAAGCUUGCAAAGCAGUGCGGUUCACUUUUUCGGCCAUAGCCUUCUUCCAGAAGCAUCCUUAGAUCUGGAAGACACCAAAACCUCUCAUCCUCAAGACAUUGUGGCUGCCGAAGAGCAGCCCACGAGAAGAAAUCCAAAGCUAGCUCUUUUGUAUUGAGAAAACUCGUUACCUUGGCAAACGACUCACCCACAAUCCCUGAAUUAUGCCCUUCACGUGUAUCCGAUAGCGCCCCGGCACCGGCAUUGCAGCUAUGCAUACAUCUCCAUUGCCUGUGAAAGACGCCGCACUGUCGUCUCACAAACAUGACUUAAACCCUAUACCCAAAAGAAAAACUUACCCAAGCGUUUAAGGUGUUCGUGCACACUUGCCAGUCGCGUCGUCACAGAAUCCAUCCUUGUCGAGAAGCCUCUCGGGUGGGGCACUCAAGAUUGGAGCGGACGGUGUACCGUAGGCAUUUCGCCGAGCGUUCCCGCAGCCAAGGCUUUUUCGCGUGUCCAUGCCGGUGACCGGAUUCACUCCGUUCGCGUAUUUACACAAAGCCUGGCAGAACUCGAGAACACAAAGAAACAUGAAACAACGAUAACAACAAAAAGGAUAACUCACUUGUUUUUGUGCAAGAUCUAGGACAGCAUCACUGAAGUCGGCACCCUCGAUUUUGGCACCACCAAGAUCACUGCGGGUAAGAACGGCUCUGACGAGAAGUGCAUUGGUCAAGUCUGCUUCGUUGAGCACCUGGUAAAAAAGAAAUGAAAUGUCAGAACUCGUGAGUGAAAAUCUAGUGUCGCUCAAUUACCAUCCGGUCCAUAAGAGUGUCGCUCAAAUCCGCACCUGGCAAAGGAACAAUUCAUGCUCACAGAGCGAUCUACAAACUCUUUCCAUUGAGUGUACCGCUAAAAUUCGUGCGAUAUGCAACAGCCUUCUCGAGAUAGCCACCGUUGAAUGUGCUCCCACUGAAGUCCGCUUCUCUCAUAUCAGCCGAUGUAAAAUUUGCUCUCCUGCUCAUCCAAAGUUCCAUAGAAUCUAGCGAUGGUAUUAAGUUCUUACCUGAAAUUCUCGUUUGCGUGGCUUGUCUGCCUACGAUAUGAAGCGAAGCUAAGCAUCGAAGAGAAAAUAUUUCACUAACAGUUACCUUAAAUCUGCCGAGCCAAAUUGCGCUGCUGAUCCUAUGCCAAACUCCCCUCGAGAUUCGGCCUCGAAUUUAUUCAGCUCCGCCCCGGCAUUCAUACCCGUCGCAAGAACUGUCGCCGCAAGCGUGAAUGCGGCCGCUCGAGAUUGCCAGGGCUUGGAUUCUUGAUCAAGAACCACACAGGAUUUACGAUAUUUCCAACCGAGCGAUCACGCAUACCUGACUUCCCUCCAUCGUCAUCGCGACCGGCGGCAGCGCACCGCAAAGAGCCGCCCCGGAUCCUCGCAUUGUGAGACGCCACGCCAUAGCCGCCGCUACCGAGAUUGGAGACCGCUCCACAGCACCACGACGCCAUCGCCAAAAUAAAACCCCCUCUUUAAAACCCGCCCUAAAUUUCAAAUCGUUUCUAAGAAAUUCCAAGCAUAUUCCUGCACGGAUGGAAUACGCCUACAUUGUUGUUUCCACAUGGUUUUGAUAUUUAGGGCAAGCUAGUGGGGAGUGAGUUUUUAGGAGGGGGAAAUGGAGGAGGGAGCGAGAAUCGCUCCGAUCGUUUUGGAGCAGCNNNNNNNNNNNNNNNNNNNNNNNNNNNNNNNNNNNNNNNNNNNNNNNNNNNNNNNNNNNNNNNNNNNNNNNNNNNNNNNNNNNNNNNNNNNNNNNNNNNNNNNNNNNNNNNNNNNNNNNNNNNNNNNAAAGGAAGAAAUUUUGUACAUAUAGCCUGUGUGCUGCCGCCGCUCGAAUUGUGAUGGAUCUGUUUUAGAGCAUCCCGAUCUAAGUCACUGUCCCUUUUCUUCACUGCCUCUGCGCGUUUUUUUUUUUUUUCUCUUCUUUUUUUCUGCUUGCUCUUUUGUAUAGCCCCGUGUGUGUGUUCUCUUCUUUGUUUUUUGUUUUUCGGUCUUUGUAAGUACCACCAAGUGCAUGCGCCCGCGUUUUAUGUGGAAGGGUGUCAUACGCACUUUAUCAACACCAAGAAAUUGCGUUUAUACUUGACCCUUGGUCGACACACUUGAGCAGGCCGAGCUACUGUCUUCCUUGCUACCUCUAGAAGAAGCCAAGUCACUCUUGCAACAUUCACAGAGUAGCAUUUAGCUAGAAGGAUGAAACGCUACACUAGGGAGUUUCUUCUGUCCUUUGCGGACAGUGAGAAUUGCCGGCGACCACCGAAUGAUCUCGAUCCAGCAGUGAGAAGGUUAGUAUGUGUCUUACUGCUGUUGUCAAGCAUCUGGGCUAAAUUUUGUGGAAGGUGUCUGCAGAGACUCCCCCUCACCCGACUUAGUGGACAGUGGGGUUUCUCCUGGAACCAAGUUCUUACACCGUCGAGAUCGUGACUUUGGUCACGAUGUUCCUGAGUGGCGAAAUAGGAACUCUGGGAAUGGAGGGGGGCUUCUUUCUCAGGGUCCGGCUAGGAGGAAAGCUUAUGACGAGGAAGGAUCUUCUUUUUCAAGUCCGUUUCGUGCUAGUGGUAGUCGACAAGGACCGGGUCAGACUAGGUGGGAUCAUCGUAGCUCUAUUGAUCGGGAGAGGGAGAGGGGUGGGCGACACUGGGAUGGAGCUGCCUCUGAGCACGAUGGUUUGCUUGGAAGUGGUGGCGGUCUACGUGGGGCUUAUCCUGGAGGUCCCGACCGCUUCGUUGGAGGUGGCAGAGGAUCUCGGAACAAUGCCAAUGAUACGCGUCCCAACAAAGUAAGAUGUUUGACGAUUUUGUGUUCUCUUUCCAAGCUGAAUUGCCUUGGAUCAGUUUUCUGGUGGAUAUCGGAAUGAUCUAGACGCUAUUGAUGGUGAAACUUUCGGAGAGAAAAGUUCUACUGAGGAUAGAGAAGAGGAAGAGCGCAAAAGACGAGGUAAUUUGCUGGAACUUCGUAUUUACGCUCAUUCUUGUCUUUAACUUUGCAGAGUCGUUCGAGUCGAUGCGAAAGGAGCAACAACAGGAGAGGAAACGUCAGGAGGAAAAGAAACGUGACGACGAUACUAAAGUACUACCAGUAGAGCAGAAUGCGAAACAGGGAUCGCGGCCUUUGGUACCUCCUGGCUUUAGUAAAAAGACGAGCGCCAGAAAGGAGCAGAACAACGAAGAGGUAAAGCUUCAGUCUUAUAUCAGGUUUCUGAUGCUCUUAAGGCAUCCAGGCUAAAGAAGAAAAGGCUAUCGGUGGCGACGUUAUACCGCUUCAGCAAUCAUCUGGUGCUGUCAAUCCACUCGCAAUUGCCAUCUCGUUAACGGAAGCCGAAUCCUUCGCGCUUACUAAUGAUUCUGGCAAUGGAAAAAUCUCAAACAGCACUGGUGCCAUGACAGUUCCUUCCUCCAGCCCCCAGGUGGUAGUCAAGUUAUAAAUUCAAUGCAGCGUCUGAUUUUCUGUGCAGACUGAGAAAGUGGAUGCGCGCCUAACCAGGACGUCAUCGAAGUUUGCUCAUCUGUUCAGCUUUGAAGGUACUCUUUCCUUUCACAUUUUCGCAUGUUCUCAUUGAGUUUGGAGCAGAUGAUAACUCUACCAUGGAAUUCCUGUCCUUGUUUGGUUCUGCUGGGAGUACAUCAAAAGAUGGUGGCCAGAGUCCACGGUCUCCUGCUCUUAAAAGCUCCGGGAUGAAACCAUCGUCUGAGGUUGUUCAGCACGGGCUGAUCCUACCCAUGCCAGUCGGCCCGUCACUUGAGGACAUCGAGAAAGGUUUCGACAAUGGUGCGGGUUCGGAUCACCAUGGAAGCUCCAGCACGUUCCUUACAUGUGAGGAUAUAGAGCAAUCACUACUGGCCGAGGCAAAAACUGAAACGCACAAUGAGCAAUUGAACGACAACUGGGGACAUUCGGUUGCGAAAGAAGCGGAUACGGAUGCUUCGCGACAUUUACUGUCUCUACUGCAAAAGGCAUCCUUGAAGCCCGACAACGAACACAAGGCACCUCCAGUGGAAGCUAAACCGUGUGAUGGACAGCGUGAAGCCAGGGAUGGAAAAGAGUCUGGUGCCGCAACGCUAGAAGCACUGUUUGGCAUGUCGUUUAUGAUGGAACUCCGGUCGACUGAUGCGCCGCUUUCCGCAAAGGUGGCGAGCGAGACGAACAAUCAUCUUUUGCCGAAGAACGCUGCCACAGUUCCUGAAAAAUCGAACGCUGCGUCAGAGGUACUGGAUGGGAUGUACAUGAACACCAACAGUCAUCACCCGAGCUGGCCAACCUGGAACAAGCAGCCAGAAGUGCCGGAGAAGAGCUCCGGAAACUCUCAGCACGUCAUCGCCGACACUUCGCCGGGACAGGAGCUCCGGAAACAGCCUUCGGAGGAGCUUGACAGUGGCGUCUUCAACGAUUUCCUCAAGUUCAAGAAGGCCAUGAAGCAGCGCAGCAGCAAGGCAAACGAUCCUUUCCUCGGGGUGGCGAAGGACAGUGGCUCCCAGGAAAACUCGUCCAACGAACGGCCAGAGAACCCGCUUGACACGUCCAGCAACGGAGGAGGAAGCCCAGCAGUGACUACUCCAGCAAACCUCUACAGGUCGCACUCUCCUCCGCUGAUCAACCAGAAGUCGUCCGCGCUGCAGCUCCAGCAGCUCCAGCAGGCCUUGGCGUCGCAAGGCUCGAGAGCAUCGAUCCAGGCAAAGCAGCAAGCGAACGGCGAAGCGAGUGCCGGAUACUCCCGAGCGGCGAGACCAUCAUUCUCUCGACAACAGCAGCAGGCACUGUUUGAGCAGCAGCAGCAGCAGCUUCACGCUCAUCACUUCCACCAGGGAGGAGGCUUUGCUCCGCCACCAUCGUCGGCCGCCGCUUUCGGCCACCAUGAUCUUCACCACCACCUCUUGUACAGUUCCAAGCAGCAGCAGCGGCCUCACAGCUUCUUCCCUCCAAAUGGCUCCAACCAGCAGCCGCCACUCCCCCCGCUGGCCAGCUUGCAUCUUCCACCGGGUCACAGCGCUCCGCCAAUGAGUUUCGGACAUCAUCCUCCUCUCGCGACGCCUGGCGCCUUCCUCGGCUUUCCACCUCCCAACGAUGCUGGCUUUCUCGUCGCGGGAGAAAUCGCCGCCGCCGCUGGUGGUGGCGGCGGUGGUGCUGGUGCUGGAUUGGAUGCGCGAUGGAUUCCUGGCAGAGAUCAUCCCAUCGGUUUAUAUCAUCACCACCAUCAGCAGCAGCAUCACCAGCAAUCGCAGUUUGGUGCGCACGAGAUCGGCUUCCCGUAGAGAGUUUGUAUCGUUUGUGGAUGGAUUGUUUUGGUGUAAGCUCGUUGGAAAACUCAAGAUCAAGAUCAAGCUGGUCCUUCUCUUAUGCAUUCUAUGAUCUCUUUGUGUUUUUUCUCUUGGUUUUUGUUAUUUUUGGUUUCUUUUUCCAACUUCCAAACAGAAGAAGCUUUGGAAUGUUGCAAUCAAUCGAAUGCAACGUGGAAGUGUAUCCAUUUGACCACUCAUGUGUUUGGAAUAAUUCCCAGAUUCCCAAGUACUCUCUCUGGCUGCCACCUCCACAUUUGCGUUUACUGCGUGUUGUGUUGUUCCACUUUCACCCCUGCUCAUGUUGUGAUCUCGCCCGGGAGGAAACGCGGCGAGGGGACGAUCGAAUUCGCGCAAUCCGAGGAGAUGGGUCGCUCCGGGGCAGCAAUCGAUAACUUGGGUCGCGGCGCAAGCAGGUGAUUGUCUCGCGCAGGCAGAGAAAUGGAGACGAUCCUUCGCGAGGAGGAAGACUAUGGCGGCGGCGCGCGAGGAGCAGCAAAGGAUCCAUCGCGAAAGCCUCACGUCGUGGCGCUCGCGUACCCAAUGCAGGGCCACAUCAAUCCCAUGAUCCAUCUCUGCAAGCGCUUGGCGUCGCUGGGCCUCUCCGUCUCGCUCGUCAACACCCAGACCAACCACGACCGCCUCGCUCGAUCGCGCGGCGCCGCGCUCGAGCAGGGGCUCGACAUCGCCAUGCUCGCGCUGGCCGACGACGAGGAGGAUACAUCCGCCCACCAGGGGGGGGCUGGCGCCGGCGGCGACGACGCCCUCCAGCGAUCGCUCGUCGCGGCGGACGCCAUGGAGCGGCCGUUCGUGGCGCUGCUACAGGGCUUGCUGGAUCGCGGCCGGGGAGUGGAUUGCAUCCUUUCGGAUGCGUUCCUGGGGUGGAGCCAGGACGUCGCGGAUCGAUUUGGGAUACCGCGAGCGGCGCUCUGGGCGUCGUCCACCGAGUACUGCCUGCUCAAUUUCCAUCUCCUGGAGCUCCGCACGCGAGGGUACGCUCCAAUUCGAGGUGAGAUUCGCGAGAAUUUGGUCGGAUUCGAUCGACCGUGUGGUGUGCUCUGUUCUUGACAGAUGCGUCGGUGCUGGACGAUGACAGCCACACGAUCGCCUUUAUCGACGGCGUAGCGCCGCUCCAUCCCAAGGACCUACCGUCUAUUCUCCAGCGCUACAGUUCACACGAUCCAGGGUUUGAGAAGCGCUACGCGAGGACGCGGCGGCUCUGCGAUGCGUACUGGAUCCUCGGCAACACCUUCCAGGAUCUGGAGCCCGAUGCGCUGGACGCGAUCCAGCAAGCGAUCAACGGUGAUCCAACCAGCGCCGCGAAGAAGAAGAGGAGGAAUUUCUCGCCAGUGGGUCCUCUGCUUCCAUCGGCGUUCCUGGGGCUGGGCGGCGACGAUCUGGGGUCUGGGAAUGGGCUGUGGAUCGAGGACGAGCGCUGCGUGAAUUGGCUGGACAAGCAAUCCCCCUCGUCAGUCCUCUACGUCUCCUUCGGGAGCUUGGCGGUGAUGAGCUCCGCCGAGAUGCUGGAGCUGGCCGCGGGGAUCGAAUCGAGCCGGCAGCCAUUCCUGUGGGUGAUCCGCCCCGGCAGCCAUCUCGGGAGCUUCGAUCUGGAGGGCUUCGUGGAGAGGACUCGACAGCUAGGGCUCGUCGUGCAGUGGGCGCCCCAGCUCCAGGUGCUCUUCCACCCCUCGGUGGGCGGAUUCCUGUCCCACUGCGGCUGGAAUUCGACGAUCGAGAGCAUCGCCAUGGGCGUGCCGAUCAUCGGGCUACCUUGCAUCGCGGAGCAAAACCUAAAUUGCAAGCGCGCUGUGAAGGACUGGGGCGUGGGAUGCAAGCUCCAGCAGCGCGGCGAUGGCGAUGGCGAUGCGAUCGUGGGGCGCGAAGAGAUCGAGCGCGUCGUGACACGAUUCAUGACCGGCGAGGACGGCAUGGAGCUGCGAAUUAGGGCGAGGGAGCUCCGCGAGGCGGCACGACGGUGUGUGAUGGACGGCGGGAGCUCCCACAAGAACCUGGAAGCGUUCGUGGAGGCCGUGAGAAUCAACGGUCUAAGAUAGAGAGAUCUAUGGUUGAGAUGCCACCGUCGAUUUAAAAUAAAAUUUGCCGCGUAGGUACAGGUGGAUGCCACGCGGCACAAAAGAUUCUCCUUUAAGGAUGACUAGGCGCCACGUGUUCCGGGCAUUGUCUUCAUCUGAGCAGCGCCAAGGCGGCCUGGCGGCUUGGAAGCGCGAGAGAGAGAUCCCAUCGCGGAGAUAUCUCGAAUUUCUUGCAGGAUCGGUGUCUGAGGUAGCUAGAAUCGGUGGAUUGAGCGCCAUCAAGCGCGAUCGAGGCGAGAAAACUGGGCAAAAUUUCCAGCAACAGUGUUUGCGGCCUAGGGUUGGGAAAUGUCCACAAGCGGGGGCGAUGGAGAACCCAAGGUAAGCGAUUUUGCAAAUCUAGAGACCAUUUUCCUUGCUUUCCUUCUCGUGCUUGGAAGAAAAUCCCAGCUUGGGCAUUUGUAUGGUGGAUUUGCUUCUUUUUCGCACGAUUCCAUCAUUGUUUCUUGUUCUUCGUGACUUGACAAGUGACAAUGCUGUGCUUUUUUGGCCUUUAUUUCUCGUGCUCGAGUUGCUUGGUUGACAUUUCUAUGGAAGAUUUCUUUCUUGUUCUAGUGAGGAAUUUUUAAUUCUUUCUCACCCUAUGAACCUUUACAGCUUGUUAUUCCACCUUACAUGGUCGCCGAAGCCAUGUCUUCUCUCCACGGGCUGGAUCUAAGGUGGUCAAGUCCGAUCACUCCCACGGAGAUGCAAUACGUGGAGCAAUAUGUAAAGGCCCGGUAUCCAGAGUUUUUCGCGAAAGCNNNNNNNNNNNNNNNNNNNNNNNNNNNNNNNNNNNNNNNNNNNNNNNNNNNNNNNNNNNNNNNNNNNNNNNNNNNNNNNNNNNNNNNNNNNNNNNNNNNNCUCCCAGUCUUGACAGAAGAUCAGGAGUACAUUGACGAGAACGGCAGAAACACUCCAGGAGCAGCAGGCCCGGACGAGUUCAAGAGGAAAUCUCCAUCCGCCGGCCAGGCAAAAGAAUGGGGAGUGAAAAAAAUGCCUCUGGAGCAAUCGCGGCUGCUAGACAUCCUCACUCAAAAGGCCACCUCCAUCGCCACUUACACCGACAGCCUGAGCUCCAUCCCGGAGAUCCACGCCAGGAACACGCUUCUCAGGCAUCUCGGGGUCACGGACGAGGACUACCUGGUGGUUUUCACAUCCAGCCUCAAGGAAUCCAUGAUGAUGGUCGGGGAGAGCUAUCCGUUUUGCCGCUACAUGAACUUCAUGACGGUGCUGAGCGAGGAGGUGGACUGGAUCCGAGAGUUUGCAUCGUACAAGGAGGCCAAGGUGAUCGUCGCUCCAUCGAACUGGCUCAACCUCAGGAUAGCCGGCUCGCAGCUCAGCCAAAACUUCCGGAGGAAGAGCAAGCAGCAGAGCCCAAACUUGAAGGGAUUGUUCGCGUUCCCGGCGGCGGAGAAUGGUGGCACCAGGAACUCGCUCCACUGGGUCUCGGAAGCGCAGAGGAACUCCUGGCACGUCUUGCUCGACGCGUCGAAUCUCCGGCUUUGCGACGAUCAGCUCAACCUGACGUUCCACAAGCCCGACUACGUGCUGUGCACGCUCUCCGGGGUCGUGGGACACUCCACAAGCAUGACUUGCUUGCUCGUCCGGAGGAGCUCGUUUGGAUCGUAAGCCGGGAGCCGGAGUUUUCUUCCAAAAGAUUGAUCGAUUUCUAAGCGAAGAACACACUGUGCUGGAAGGAAAGAUCGAUCUCUAAACUCUCUUUGGCUAUAAAACCAACCGAUGGACGUCACAAUCCUACUCGCCUGGCUAGAGAGAUUUUUUCUUCGAACGCUCGCAAGGUUGUAUUGUAUAAUUUUUUUAGUGACUGGCAAUCAUACAGUGGUAGUCGCCAUCGAGGCAAUAGUGUAUGUUCUUGAUCAUAGUCUCCUCCGUACUAAGUUUUCCUGGUACGUUUGGCAUAUUCUCUGCGGUUUUGUUUUGUAAAAGCUGACGCGACUGACGUACGAUCAGCGACGCUGCGCCGUCGAUUCUAGGGCUGCUAGCGGCAUGCGUGGGAUAUUCCGUCCCGUCUUCCUACUGUGGGGGGGUUUUCAGCUAACUCCAGCUGUGUGUCAUCUCUCUCUGUCUUUCUCUCGCCAUGGAACGUCAGUUCUUGCGCGAUCUCUCAAGAAGGCGCUGGAGAGAUCAUGGAUUUCGACCGCGGCUGCCUCAAUUCGCCGGAUCGCUGCGGAAAAAUGUGGAUUCCAGGCCGCGCUCUUCCGGUAAUUCGUCUUUGCCCGCUCCAGUGGCCCUAGUCCGUGCAGGUUUUCGUCACGGGUGCUGACUCUGGUCGGCGACAGCGAGCGCUGCAUUGGAGCUGGCGAGAAUUGGCCAGUGAGCGGCAGCGCGGCAGCGCAUUGGAAUCUUUCAGGUGGAAAUUUCGGUGGGAUAGAUCUUGAUGAGGCUGCUGCUGGUGUAGACGAUGCCGCUAGUGAGAUAUGAGCUCCGUAGUGAGUAUGAGCUCGCCAAUCGAGAGCUCUACAGGUCGGCACCGAAAAAUGACCCGGAGGCGAUCCUCGAGGGCGUCUCCAUGGUCAGCCUCGUCGGCAUUGUGAGGCAACUUGGAGAUCUAGCAGAGUAAGAGUUCUUUCUCUCGGCUCUUCUCGGACUGACCACUUUUUUUGUGAAUUUUCUCUCCAGGUUUGCGGCGGAUGUGUUCCACGAGCUCCAUGAAGCCGUCAUGACGACUGCUUCCAGGAGCCAUGACCUCGUCGUGCGUGUUAGUCAGCUGGAAGGAGAAUUGCCUGCGUUGGAGAAGGCUAUACUAUCUAGAAAGACGAAUCCUCUCCAGUUUCCUUACGCUCCAGGUACUCCCGAGUUCUCUCCUUUUGUUUUCUAAAGCUCGAAAGGUGGAAACUGGAUUGGAUUGGCAGGUCUUGAGUGGCAUGCAAGCAUUCGAAACGAUCAAAACCUUUGCACGCAAGGCGACUUGCCUCGCUUUAUCAGGAGUUCUUACGAGGAAUGUCGGGGUCCUCCGAGGCUUUUUCUCUUGGACAAGUAUGCAAAUCAGAUCUAGACUUCGUGACUCGGUAUAAAUUAGAAUUUGACGCACGAUCUCUUCUUCGUCUUCCAGGUUUGAUGUCGGUGGUGUUGGAGCUUGCCUGAAGCGGUACACGGAUCCAUCGUUUUUUAAGAUGGAAUGGGCGAGCUCCGAAAUUAUGAAAGCGGAGAAGGCACAACAAGACAAAAAAGCUCGAAGAAGCAAAGUAAGUAUUUUAUGGAAAUCUCGAAGUUUUGAAACAUUUUUGCGUUUGCAUGUGAAGAAACCUCGACGUCGGAAGGAAGGGGAGGUAAAAGACUCGAGGCCUCCCCCUGUCCAGUUUCAGCACCCGAGGUAUCUCGCCUUCAUCUUCGAUCUAUGAGAAUUUUAACAUGGUAUUUAACAGGGCGCGAUACUCAACUAUAAGCGUCUCUAGUGUCGAUGGCCUAUCUGAAAGCGCCACCACUCCCUUGACGAACAUGGCCGUAGAGAGCGACCCAUCCAGCAAGCCGUUUCCAUUUGUCACUUUUCUGGGAGGAUCACAGCAGAGCUCGAAGGAAAGCACAGUCAGCCUAAGCGGCAAGUCCCCCAUGUCAGUAAGAAAAUCAGUAUCAAAGCCUGUGGCUGCGGCGGAUAAAGAGGAAGAAGAUCGGGUCUUUAAAGAGAACAGCAGCAAGACAAUAGAGGGAGAUACUGCGACGAGGAAGGAAGAAAAAGUUGAUGAUGCUGCAAGUGACACGGAGCAAUUUUUGGAUGCCAUGACGACCAUGGAAUCCGAGACAGAUUCUGAACCAAGAGAGAAGCGGGGGCUUUCAAAUUUUAGACAAUCCAAGGUGGUGAGAACUAAGAAGGCAGAGAACGACGAAGACGCUCCUUUCGAAGAUGCUAGAAACUUGGCAAUCGAUUCAGAGACCGAAGCUGAGUCCAAGUACAGCCUCGACUUAACACCGAUUUCAGUAGAGCCUCGAUCUCCAGUUCAUCACGAGAACGUUCAACUAAGUUACGAAGUAAUGAACGUAGAAAACGAUGCGAAGGUGGAUGUUGAUAGGCCAGAUGAAGUACCCGACCAUCCAAACAUUUCUGAAGACUUGAGGCUGGAAUAUGAAGACAGAGAUUUGACCGACGAUGAAGGGGAGUAUCCAGAGAAAGAUCUGCCACCUGAGGAUGAAAACAGGCUGGAAUAUCCAGAGGAGGAGGAUUUUGAAGUUGAAUCAAGAACCACAGAUAUGAACGACGUCUUGGAAUUGGAAAAUGAAGAAAGGAAGCUACUUGAGCUUCAUCAGGAUAGCUCUGGCGUUGUCGAAGAUGUAAACAGAGCAACCUCACCGGCGAAAGCGGCAUCUCGUACCAGCAUCGAAAAAGACGUGAAUGAAGGUGAUGAUCUAGUGGAUGAAGCAGCUUUGGCAUCGGACAAGGACUACAUCGAAGAGAGCCCUGACGACGAAGGAGCUGCUCUCGAGUCCACAGAAAUUUCUGACGCAGAAGUGGACAAGCAGAAGGCUGAAGAAACUGAAGAGCAGAAGAUUACCUCGGAGCUGGAAGACGAGGAACCGUUCGAUGUCGAAGUUAUUCAAGUCAUUGGAGAUAAUGGGGACACAAAGAAGGAAGUUGAAUUCGAGCCAUUGCUUGCAUCUGAUGACGAGGGAACCAUUGAAGACAACGAGAAAAGAGAAGACGAAGCAGACGAUCAUGGAGAACGUCUAUCUGACACCAAAGCCAACGUUCAUGAAAUUGCUGAUACUUCUGAUGCUCCGCGGCAGACUGAAACAGUGACUCGGGAAGAAUCAGCUAAUUUUCUGGUUAGAGAGGACNNNNNNNNNNNNNNNNNNNNNNNNNNNNNNNNNNNNNNNNNNNNNNNNNNNNNNNNNNNNNNNNNNNNNNNNNNNNNNNNNNNNNNNNNNNNNNNNNNNNUGCGACAGAGGUGGCAGAGCAGGCGGUUUCAGGGCACAGUCGUGAUACUAAUGCUAUCCAAGAGGAUGAACUUGAGCAGCAUAUCAUCGGUUUGGAAAACGUCCAAACAAAAGCAGCUCCCGCCCUUGAACGAAACGAAAGCUUGCAAGCGAGCAGUCCCAUGGAUGUUUUCGAGUCUGCAAGCAGCCAGGAAAACUUUUUCAGCGAGGAAAUCUCAUCCAGGUUCAGUGCGUUUUCCGACGAGAACAACACCCCCAAUAAUGAAUUGGAGGUCGAGGAACUUUACUCCAUGCACGAUGGGUACUCGGCAGAUGACGACUCAAUGAGAAAUGGUCAUUCAGAAGCAGCAUCGGAACUACAUUGGACACCUGCGGGGUCUACUGCUCCAAGUGGAGAUGGAAAGCUGGAAAUUCAACAACAGAACGAGGCAGAAAGAGAUCUCAGCAAAGAUGGGAAAGAGUCAGAUGAACGUGAAGGUUCCACGGUGGACGUAAACCAGCAGCUUUUAUCUCGACUUCACGAUUUAAGUGCGCAACAACACGAGGACGAACUGGUACACAGUCUUCCCUCGGAUGGUAAAGCGCAAGGAAACGAAAUCGGCAAUCAUAAGGUGGACUCCGAUGACGACAACGAGGUGGAUCUCGAGCAAGACGUGGAAGAGCAUCAACAACACGCUGAAAGCACUAUUUCCAGCAGUCGUCAGCUGGAGGAAAUCGAACGUCCCACAAGUCAACAAGCCUCUCCGAAGUUGCAAGCUUUUGACACCUCAAAGAGCGAUGGCGAUGCUAUAUGGGCAGCGGAAGACAACACGUCUGACAAGUCGGAGGAAUCUUUGAGCUCCUCCCCAAGGUCUCCAGUUUUCGGCGUCCUGUCACCCGCUAAAUCGGCAGACAGCCUUGAAAGCGAAGUUGCAACGAUACUGGCGCCGAGUUCUCCAACGUCCCAGUCGAUGCCGUCUCCAAUGCCGGAAGAAAUGCCACCGCUACCUCCACUGCCUCCACUAAGGUGGCGGACUUCGUUGUUCAUGCCAAGGGACAGCGGACUAUUCCAACGCGAGCCUCCAAGCUUGGAAGUUGGCGCUGGUGAUCAUCUCGCUUCAGCGCAUGAGCCUCCUCCACAAGUAUUGGUGGCGUCAGAGACUUCUCCAUUCCAAGCUGUAGAGUCGCCGGAGCCUCAGCCACUGGAGGAUACCAUCGACAGGAUUUCCUCACAGCCAGAAACGUUAGUCGACAAGCCACUUCCAGAUUUACACUUGCCGGAUCCGGAGCCACCUUCACAACCUUCCAGCUUCUUGUCACGGUCAAUCGACGUGGACAAUUUGGAACAACAUCCAAGCUCGCAAAGCUUGGCCAACAAAAAUAUUUCAAACGACGAUCCAGCUGAUGCCAUUCCUGUGUCUACAAUGGAUGAGUUUCGGGAAGAGGCUGAAUCGCAAGAGCCGAGUGAUCCAGAAACAUCUCCUAGGACUGUCCCGUUGACGGUGGCUGACGUACCUCCAGCGCUACUCGUUGACGACAGCCAGUCGCUCGCAGCAACAGGCUUGUCUCAUCCGGAUGACAAAACUUGUCCCGAUGCAGCAGUGCACGAAUCCUUGGUGCCACCUCCAGCCGACGACAAUGAGGUGCCUACAAUUGCAUCAGCCAGAGAAGAUUUGUCACAUCUCGACGACAGUCAACCGCUUAUGGAAGUUUCGGUGUUCGCUCCCGCUUCACCGCUCACGGAACAGCUCCCCGGUCCAGGACCUGUGGCAGAAGCUCGCGGCCUGCCAGAAUCAUCGCUCCCACCUCAAUGUCACUCGCCUACAGAUGCUAGCGAAUCUCCACAAGCUCCUUCGUCACCAAGAACUAUAGACGACUUGCGGGAAGCGUCUGUGCCACCUCAAAGCCACUCGCCAGGAACUAUCGACGACUUGCGAGAAGUGUCCGUGCCACCUCUCAGUCACUCGCCUACAGCUGCUAGAGAUUCUCCACAAGCUCCUUGGUCGCCAGGAACUAUAGACGACUUGCGGGAAGCGUCUGUGCCACCCCAAAGCCACUCGCCAGGAACUAUCGACGACUUGCGAGAAGUGUCCGUGCCACCUCUCAGUCACUCGCCUACAGCUGCUAGAGAUUCUCCACAAGCUCCUUGGUCGCCAGGAACUAUAGACGACUUGCGGGAAGCGUCUGUGCCACCUCAAAGCCACUCGCCAGGAACUAUCGACGACUUGCGAGAAGUGUCCGUGCCACCUCUCAGUUACUCGCCUACAGCUGCUAGAGAUUCUCCACAAGCUCCUUGGUCGCCAGGAACUAUAGACAACUUGCAAGAAGUGUCCGUGCCACCUCAAAGCCACUGGCCUACAGCUGCUAAAGAAUCUCCACGAGCUCCUUCGUCACCAGGAACUAUAGACGACGUGCGAGAAGUGUCCGUGCCACCUCGUAGCCCGUCCCCGACAAAGGAGUUCCCAGACGCAUCCUCGCCAGUUCAAGCUGCUCAAACUCAACCUCAGUCGCCUGUACGAACAGAAGUAUCCAUACCAUUACAGGGCCCGGAG